GCGUGUGUGAUGAAGGCCCUAGGGUUGUAAAGCACUUUCAACGGUGAAGAUAAUGACGGUAACCGUAGAAGAAGCUCCGGCUAACUUCGUGCCAGCAGCCGCGGUAAUACGAAGGGAGCUAGCGUUGUUCGGAAUUACUGGGCGUAAAGCGCGCGUAGGCGGGCUAUUAAGUUAGGGGUGAAAUCCCAGGGCUCAACCCUGGAACUGCCCUUGAUACUGGUAGUCUAGAGAUCGAGAGAGGUGAGUGGAAUUCCGAGUGUAGAGGUGAAAUUCGU
rnacentral:rRNA from 1 species